rnacentral:rRNA from 1 species
UGGGGAAUCUUCCGCAAUGGACGAAAGUCUGACGGAGCAACGCCGCGUGAGUGAAGACGGCCUUCGGGUUGUAAAGCUCUGUUAUACGGGACGAACGGGCGGGAUGCUAAUACCAUCCUGUUGUGACGGUACCGUAAGAGAAAGCCACGGCUAACUACGUGCCAGCAGCCGCGGUAAUACGUAGGUGGCAAGCGUUGUCCGGAAUUAUUGGGCGUAAAGGGUGCGCAGGCGGUCUCUUAAGUCUGUCUUAAAAGUGCGGGGCUCAACCCCGUGAGGGGACGGAAACUGGGAGACUGGAGUAUCGGAGAGGAAAGCAGAAUUCCUAGUGUAGCGGUGAAAUGCGUAGAUAUUAGGAGGAAUACCAGUGGCGAAAGCGGCUUUCUGGACGACAACUGACGCUGAGGCACGAAAGCCAGGGGAGCGAACGGG